UGUUCCGUGCCGCGCUGGACAUAGAGUUUGGGAGACAAAAGUCCAACAGACGGCGACUCUCUUGUCGUCCUGUUGAACGCUGCUGGUGUACGCUUCGGACGUAGGCUGCAGGGAGAGGACUGGGAGGAUCAGGAUGACGAGGGAGCGGAGCAGAGCCGCGCCGUCGGUCAUGGAAGGGAUCAAGCACCUAACGAGAUUUGGAAAUAAACAUUCUUCAGCAACAGCAGAAUCGGCCGUGAAAUGAUUCAGGGGUGAUGUGGUGUCCAACACAGAUGCGCGCAAUGUCGACGUCAUCUCUCGCUCACGAUAUGCGGAAUUAAACACGUGGGCACAACAGUCCGAUAGUUCCAAUUCUCCCACCCGCGUCAAUCGCCAACCGCUUCCUCCUUUCAGUGGGUCCCACCCGAGAGGAGUCGCUACCUUCCUGCCCACCAACCAAGGGCCUCGAUCUCUCCUUCGUCGUGAUAUCGCAAGCUGCCACCGUUGGAUUUGCGCCCAAAACCGCACGCCGGGGUUUUAUAUUCACACCCAACCCCAUAACUCCGCGUCCUCUUUCGCGGCCAAUCUUUGUGAGAGACAGAGCGCGAGAGAGAGGGGCGCUCCGCCGAAACCCUCGUCUCGAUCUCGCGGCCCCGAUCGCCAAUACCGGAGGGUGGAAACCCGAUCGCCUCGAUCUCGUCUCGUCCCCAAUGGCAGACGAUCUGGUGGAGGCGAAAAAGCCGGAUGGCUGCGACGCCGACGCGACGGUGAUCCAGAGGAGGAUCGAGUUCCACCCUGCCCGUAAAUUCUUCUCACCAUCGUCCAAUGGGGCUUUCUAUCUUGAAACCCUGAACCCCGAUUCGGAAACUCCCAGGCCCUCGGCGUGCAAUCGGGAUCCUCCCGCGGUUUCGGCGCCGUCACUGGGGAGGAGAUCGGAUGGUGCGGAGGCCUAUGAGCAUGAAAUGGACCCCGAGCUCAGCUCUAGGAUCAGGUUUCGUAAUAUUGGUGCUGGAUUGGCCAAUCUUGGCAACACUUGUUUUCUUAAUUCAGUCCUUCAAUGCCUGACAUACACUGAGCCUUUUGCUGCAUAUCUACAAAGUGGGAAACAUCAAAUUUCUUGUCAGAUAGCUGGAUUUUGUGCAAUGUGUGCCAUUCAGAACCACGUCAUGAUUGCCCUACAGUCAACUGGAAAGAUAUUGUCACCUUCUACUCUUGUCAAGAACUUACGUUGCAUAUCUCGCAAUUUUCGUAAUUCUAGACAAGAAGAUGCACAUGAGUACAUGGUUAGCUUGCUUGAGUCCAUGCACAAAUGCUGUUUACCAUCUGGAGUCCCUAGUGAGUCCCCUACUGCUUAUGAAAAAAGUUUGGUACACAAGAUAUUUGGUGGCCGACUGAGAAGUCAGGUUAAGUGCAUGCAAUGUUCCUAUUCUUCCAAUAAAUUUGAUCCCUUCCUGGAUUUGAGUCUCGAAAUAGCAAAGGUUGAUUCUUUAUGGAAAGCACUAAAACAUUUUACUGCUGUGGAACAAUUAGAUGGAGGGGAAAGACAGUACCAGUGUCAAAACUGCAAAGAGAAAGUUAGGGCCCUCAAACAGCUCACCAUUCACAAGGCCCCUUAUGUUCUCACUAUUCAUCUUAAACGUUUUGAUUCUUUGUUUCCUGGACAGAAGAUUGACACAAAAGUGGAUUUUGAUCUCACUCUUGAUUUAAAACCUUUCAUCAGUGAUCCACAUGAAGAUGAUUUGAAAUACACCCUUUAUGGAGUUUUGGUGCAUGCUGGCUGGAGUACCGAAUCUGGUCAUUAUUAUUGUUAUGUUUGUACCUCUAGUGGCAUGUGGCAUUCUCUUGAUGAUAACCAGGUUUACCAGGUUAGUGAGAAGACUGUCCUAGAGCAGAAGGCCUACAUGCUAUUUUAUGUCCGUGAUAGGAGUUCUAUAGUAAAGAAAUCAUCAGAGAUGAUUCAAAAAGAUUGUGUUUCUACUAAUCCUCCUGGGAAGAAAUUAAUUCCUCACUCAGCCUUAGUUAUAAAGGGAGCAGUUCUAAAUUGUUUGGUGGAUGGGAAACUAAGCACCUUGGAAUCUAGUUCUGCCAUACUUAAAAGUUAUCCUAUUACUGAUUGUCAUCCUGAUUCUGGAAUAGGUUCUUCAUCGGAUUCCCAGUUACCUGGAGUAGCAUUUUUGCGAGAAAAUGACAACAACAUACAAAAUGAAAAUGUAGCUCCCCAGAGUGACAGCCAGUUGCUAGGGAGAAAAGCUGCAUUAUUGCGAGCAAAUAGUGAUAUUAUGUCAAAUGCAUUGCAGCAAGGGAAAAAAUCAGCGGAUGCAGCAUCUUCAAAAGAGUUCAUGAUGCCUGUUUCCCAGAUUAUUCAACAGAGGUUGAUUGAAGAUUCAAUCGAACCUGCACGGGACAAGGAUUUUGUUGUUAUGGUUACCCAUGCAAAUGAUGCCACUGUCACCUCUGAAAGUGAUCAAACUAACAGUGGAAAAUGUCUUCUUUCUAAUGAUUGGAAUGAAGAGGUGAAGUCAGAAGUGCUCCUCUCUGUGCCAAAUAAUGCUUCCUGCUCAGACUCUUCUCCUCAGCAACAUCAUGAGAAGAUUCUCAAGCAAAUCAAUAUGCACGAGAAUGAUGAUGUUGCAAUUGCAAUUUAUCAGAAUAAUGAUGCACUUAGCCAAAAAGGAACAAGUAACGUACCUGCAGAUAAAAAUCCUCUCAAACUUUUAAACCAGUUGGGAUUCAUGCAGAUGGCAUCACAUGAUAAAACUUCCGUGGAACAUCAGAUUGGUAAUGAGAGCAAGAGGUGCUCAACUAACACACAGUGCAAUGGGGGCUACCUUAAACUGGAGGAAUCUGGAAUGACUAAUGUAUUAAAGGGAUGUUCAAGUGGUUUUGUUGAGAAGGAAGUUCUUGACGUAAUGAAAUCCCAAACAGGACUAAAGCCAAAAAAACAUGUAAAACAUUCACUAAAUGGAAUCUAUUUUGGCCGCAAGCAACUGUUUCUUUCUUUGUUGAGUGCAGAUAAAAUCAGGAAAAGAAACAGAAGAAAAAAGCGGCUUUCAAUUAUGACAAGCUUGCAAAAAAAAGCUGUACCUGAUGAUGUUAGCUUGAAUGAUCAGGGCACAUCAACCUCUGAGAUUGUUAAAAAUGUUGUACUUUCUGAGUGUUCUGGUCGAAAGAAUUCUCGUGCUAGUUUCAAGAAAAACAGAAGUACCUGCAGUAUGAGGAAUGAUAGUUACUGUAACAGUGAAUCUUUGAAUAUAUCAACUGGAGGAAUUGGCGGGGACAAUGGUAAAGAUCGAACACAUGAUCAUCCUGAGCAAUCAAGAUGGUGUUCCAGCUCCACGGAUUAUCAGUGUAACUCAAGAGACACAAUUUUAGAUGACAAUGGGCUCCUUCAGCAUAAUAUUAUGAAACUACUCAUGAGGGGCUUGAACAAAAAAACUGUUGCCAGAUGGUAUCACCUGGAAUCACCAGAGUUCAAAGUACACGGACUUAAAAGUUCAAGAAGUAGCAGGAUUGAUUAUGUGGUGGAUGAAUGGAAUGAGGAGUACUGUCAAGGCAGGAGGAAGAAGGCAAAGAAGUCUAAAGAAUCAAAUGGUGGCCAAAACGAGUUCCAGGAGAUGACCAAUGUAAAACAACAAGAAAGAUCCAAAGUGAAGAAACAGAGGUUGCUGAGUAUUAUUCCGUUCAGGAUAUGAUGGCAAAAAUGAAAUUGCUGUUCUCUUAGUUUUUGGUAUUCUUUUUUGCCAAACGAGAACGGAGGAGAUUAUGGUGCAGAACUUCGGAAAAAGGCUGUUCAUUGCAACUCACCUUAAGGUGAAGACAGCACUUCUGUGAUUUUGCAAUAAAUGAUAGCUUUCUAUCGGGGGGUGUGCCUUGGUAUGCCGGUAAGAUUGCUCCUUUGUUACUUGAGAAAACAUGAUUUGAGGCAUAAAAACAGUCUCGCUGUAUUUAAGUGUAAAGGUGCAUAUAUUGAUCCUUCCCAAACCUCACAUCAGCGGGAGUCUCAUGCAUCGGAUACGUCCUUUUUAUGACAACUUUCUAUUGCAUCACAUCUUAAGUUAUAUGCAAGAUUAAAUCUAUAUAAUCAAGGAUGCUAUAAUUGCACAUCCAUGGAUCAAACAUUGCAUAGGGUAAGGUGACCCCUAUAGUUUCUUGCCCAUUCAACUAAUGAAAAUGCUCUUUCUAGUAUUUCUCAAAAAAUCUUUUUUAUAUGUUAUAUGUACAAAGUGAAAUAUCUCUCUAGUUUAAGAAGUAGAAGAAAAUGGUAAAUCAACUUAGAUUGAAGAAACAAUUGGCGAUCUAGAGUAACGAAGCAACUACAGAGUUUUCAGGGCUAAUUACAUAUU